rnacentral:rRNA from 1 species
UACGGGGGGGGGCAAGCGUUGUUCGGAAUUACUGGGCGUAAAGGGCUCGUAGGUGGUCAACUAAGUCGGACGUGAAAUCCCUCGGCUUAACCGGGGAACUGCGUCCGAUACUGGAUGACUUGAGUUCGGGAGAGGGAUGCGGAAUUCCAGGUGUAGCGGUGAAAUGCGCAGAUAUCAGGAGGAACACCGGUGGCGAAGGCGGAUCUCUGGGCCGUAACUGACGCUGAGGAGCGAAAGCAUGGGGGAGCGAACAGG